rnacentral:rRNA from 1 species
AGUCGAACGGAGUUCAAUCGGGAGCUUGCUCCCGGCUGAACUUAGUGGCGGACGGGUGAGUAAUGCAUGAGCAACCUGCCUUCAGGAGGGGGAUAACAUCGGGAAACCGGUGCUAAUACCGCAUAGAGCAUUUUGCAGGCAUCUGCGAGAUGGGAAAGGAGCAAUCCGCCUGGAGAUGGGCUCAUGUCUGAUUAGAUAGUUGGUAGGGUAACGGCCUACCAAGUCUGCGAUCAGUAGCCGGACUGAGAGGUCGAACGGCCACAUUGGAACUGAGAUACGGUCCAGACUCCUACGGGAGGCAGCAGUGGGGAAUAUUGGGCAAUGGGCGAAAGCCUGACCCAGCGACGCCGCGUGAGGGAAGAAGGUCUUCGGAUUGUAAACCUUUGUCAACAGGGACGAAAACAAUGACGGUACCUGUGGAGGAAGCCACGGCUAACUACGUGCCAGCAGCCGCGGUAAUACGUAGGUGGCGAGCGUUAUCCGGAUUUACUGGGUGUAAAGGGUGAGUAGGCGGGAAGUCAAGUCAGAUGUGAAAUGCCGCGGCUUAACUGCGGAACUGCAUUUGAAACUGAUUUUCUUGAGAGUCGGAGAGGCAAUCGGAAUUCCUAGUGUAGCGG